AUUGAACGCUGGCGGCAGGCUUAACACAUGCAAGUCGAACGAGUGGCGGACGGGUGAGUAAUGCUUGGGAAUCUAUCUUAUGGAGGGGGAUAACUACUGGAAACUGUAGCUAAUACCGCGUACCAUAGGAUGAGCCCAAGUGGGAUUAGGUAGUUGGUGAGGUAAAGGCUCACCAAGCCGACGAUCGCUAGCUGGUCUGAGAGGAUGACCAGCAACACUGGAACGGAGAAACGGCCAAGACGCCUAAGGAAGGAAGCAGUGGGGAAUAUUGCGAAAUGGGGGCAACCUGACAAAGCCAUGCCGGGUGGAUGAAGAAGGCCUUCGGGUUGUAAAGUUCUUUCGGUAGCGAGGCGUUAACUACAGAAGAAGCACCGGCUAACUCCGUGCCAGCAGCCGCGGUAAUAC
rnacentral:rRNA from 1 species